AUUGAACGCUGGCGGCAGGCCUAACACAUGCAAGUCGAACGGUAACAGGGAUCAGCUUGCUGAUUCGCUGACGAGUGGCGGACGGGUGAGUAAUGUCUGGGAAACUGCCUGAUGGAGGGGGAUAACUACUGGAAACGGUAGCUAGUACCGCAUAACGUCGCAAGACCAAAGAGGGGGACCUUCGGGCCUCUUGCCCUCGGAUGUGCCCAGAUGGGAUUAGCUAGUAGGUGGGGUAACGGCUCACCUAGGCGACGAUCCCUAGCUGGUCUGAGAGGAUGACCAGCCACACUGGAACUGAGACACGGUCCAGACUCCUACGGGAGGCAGCAGUGGGGAAUAUUGCACAAUGGGCGCAAGCCUGAUGCAGCCAUGCCGCGUGUAUGAAGAAGGCCUUCGGGUUGUAAAGUACUUUCAGCGGGGAGGAAGGGAGUAAAGUUAAUACCUUUGCUCAUUGACGUUACCCGCAGAAGAAGCACCGGCUAACUCCGUG
rnacentral:rRNA from 1 species